rnacentral:miRNA from 1 species
GGUUGUUCCAACAAGUCUGAUACAGCCAUCAUAUAACAAUAUUGUUACAAUCUUGUGUCGUCAGCCUUGUAACAUUCUUGUCAUAUUAUGAUUGUAUCAGACUUUGUUAGAACAACC